GCCGUCGUAGGUGCACCUAUCGCUGGUUCAUCCACCUCAUUUGCGAGUUCUUCCCCUAUUUCAUAGCUAUUCAUCUGCCUCUGUCACUGCUUCAAUGUAGUCCUUCCUUCUUCACUGUUUGAAGUUGCUUCCUCCUUCCUCUGUCCAUGCGUGUUGGUUCAUCUAAGGGUGUGUGGAAGAACAGGACCCUGACAAGAAUUAAAGGAAGAGUAUCUUUGGGGAAUUGGGAACUUCA